UACGGGGGGGGCAAGCGUUGUUCGGAAUUACUGGGCGUAAAGAGCUCGUAGGCGGUUCAGUAAGUCGGGUGUGAAAACUUUGGGCUUAACCCAAAGCGUGCAUCUGAUACUGCUGUGACUUGAGUUCGGUAGGGGAGUGGGGAAUUCCUAGUGUAGCGGUGAAAUGCGCAGAUAUUAGGAGGAACACCGGUGGCGAAGGCGGGUCUCUGGGCCGAUACUGACGCUGAGGAGCGAAAGCGUGGGGAGCGAACAGG
rnacentral:rRNA from 1 species